rnacentral:rRNA from 1 species
GAUGAACGCUAGCGGGAGGCUUAACACAUGCAAGUCGAGGGGCAGCAUAGGGUAGCAAUACUCUGAUGGCGACCGGCAAACGGGUGAGUAACGCGUAUGCAACAUACCUUUAGCAGGGGGAUAGCCCGUGGAAACGCGGAUUAAUAUUCCAUAGUCCAGCAGUAUCGCAUGGUACCACUGGUAAAGAUUAAUCGGCUAAAGAUUGGCAUGCGUCUGAUUAGUUAGUUGGUAGGGUAACGGCCUACCAAGGCGACGAUCAGUAGGGGUUCUGAGAGGAUUACCCCCCACACUGGUACUGAGACACGGACCAGACUCCUACGGGAGGCAGCAGUGAGGAAUAUUGGUCAAUGGGCGGAAGCCUGAACCAGCCAUCCCGCGUGAAGGAAGACAGCCUUACGGGUUGUAAACUUCUUUUCUGUUUGAAGAAUAAGCCCGUUGAGACGGGUGAUGCCGGUAGGACAGGAAUAAGCAUCGGCUAACUCCGUG